rnacentral:rRNA from 1 species
UACGAAGGGGGCUAGCGUUGCUCGGAAUUACUGGGCGUAAAGCGCGUGUAGGCGGCUCUUCAAGUCAGGCGUGAAAGCCCCGGGCUUAACUCGGGAACUGCGCUUGAUACUGUCGAGCUAGAGUGUGGAAGGGGCGAUUGGAAUUCCGUGUGUAGCGGUGAAAUGCGUAGAUAUACGGAGGAACACCAGAGGCGAAGGCGGAUCGCUGGGCCAACACUGACGCUGAGACGCGAAAGCUAGGGGAGCAAACGGG